rnacentral:rRNA from 1 species
UACGACUACAUAUCAGGCAUAUCAAUAAGCGGAGGAAAAGAAACUAACAAGGAUUCCCUCAGUAACGGCGAGUGAAGCGGGAAGAGCUCAAAUUUGAAAUCUUCAAGGUUCUACCUUGACGAAUUGUAGUUUAAAGAAGUGUUUUCUGUUAGUGGAGUUUGGUAAAAGUUCUUUGGAAUAGGACAUCAUAGAGGGUGAGAAUCCCGUAUUUGGACCAUUAUUUCUAGCUUUGUGAUACACUUUCAAAGAGUCGGAUUGUUUGGGAAUGCAGUCCAAAAUGGGUGGUAAAUUUCAUCUAAAGCUAAAUAUUGGCGAGAGACCGAUAGCGAACAAGUACCGUGAGGGAAAGAUGAAAAGAACUUUGAAAAGAGAGUUAAACAGUACGUGAAAUUGUCAAAAGGGAAGCGUUUGACACCAGUGUUGUUUUUCUCGAAAAUCAAUUAUAAAAUGCGGAUUUUGUGUUGAGGAGUGAUGACUUUAUCAGCUUCCUUCACUCUUUCACUUGUAACUUUUGUAAUGCACUUUUCGGUUAACAAGUCAACAUCAAUUUCUUUUGUUGUAAAAGGGUCAUUGGAAGGUGGCUUUCUUUUCGGAGAAAGUGUUUAUAGCCCUUAUGCCUCUACAAUCGGAGAGAUUGAGGUCUGCAGCGUAGAUCCUUCGGGGUUAGAUACAUUUGUGCUAAGUUAUAGCCUUUCCAUAGACAACUUGUUGACUAUGAUUCAGUCAUGUAGCUUACUCGCUUAUGCUAUUUUACCUACGCUUAGGAUGUUGAGCGCAUGUCUCUCUCU